UUUCUGCCUCCAAUAGUAGAUUUCUCCAGGUAUGCAAUGUAGGGCAGAUCAGAAUUCCUAAGUAUCUUUUUCACUUCUUCAGCAUAUUCCGUUGUGUAGUUUCUUGCUGGGCUAUGCUGUAAAGAACAAUUCUACCUGUCCUAGCUUGCUGGGACUGGAAUACAGCUGUAUUCUUCUUAAAGAAGAAAAAAAUUUCAUCUCAUUUUACUGGAAUACUUUAAGUGGACCACAAUUACACUGGGUAGAAAAAGGGAAGAAGAUAAAAAAAGCAAGUAAAACAAAAGAAUCAAAAUUUCAUUUAUUCUAAAGCCAUUUUUUUCUUUUAUUAUCUAGUUGCUGAGCUGAAAAAUCAUUAUUUGUACUGACGAGGGCUCCUGUACUCCCAUUAUCCCAUCACAGCUCAAAUUAUCAUUCCCUACUGUAGAAAUUAUUUCUUCUUGCAAGCGAUUCUUGAUUGCUGGACUCAAGGAUCAUUCUACUGUCAAAAAGGUCCAAGAAAUUUGAUCUACUUUAAGAGCACUAGAAAGAUGCCUUAUCCAUCUAAAAGAUUGGCUGAAGUUAGUAAUACAGCUCAUACAAGCUCUCUGGCCACAUUCGGUGACUACAUUUCUCUUUAUUUUGCAGCUUCAGGGGUAUAGAUACAAUAAGCACAUUUCUAGCACUGCACAAAUUUCAUUUUCAGUACUAGAUCAUAAACACCCAAAAUAGGUCACAGUAAAGACUUCCRAAAGCAACAUACAAACAAACUCUGUUGCAAAGGGAUCAAUCUUUCAGCACAAUGAAUUCAAACUACAUCAAUGUGGUUGUAUUCUUCUCUGGAAUACUACGUUGUUGGUUUUUUUAGAACUAUUCCACUUUGAGACAUGACAGAACAAAAUUACAAAAGCAUUUGCGAAUGUCAUGAUCCAGUAAAUUAUAGUGCAGUGGGCAGAUACUUGACUCCACUUUCUGACAUCAGAGUCUCCUCAGCCAGAUGAGUUCACAGGCCUAAAGUAAAACCAUAGAACUUUUCUCCAAUUUGCACCUAAAGACAGCAGACUUCUCCCAAUAUCCACCUGAUUUACGUUUACAGAUGCAUUUUGCAGUCGCUGUUUGGAGCUCRUACGUGCAAACAACUGUGUGAUCAUAAACAAAGGCAUGCAGGGCURGGCAAUUUCACGGACUGGCAAAAGCAGUUCCUCUGUGUAUUUCAGAGGCUAACACACAUGGACUUCUACACGCGCAACAGUAUACAACAGCCUUAAUUUGUAUACAACAAAUUUGUAUACAACAGUCUUAAUUUUAGAGAUUUUGGAAGUGUGAGAGUAUGUUACAUGCUAAGUAGCAAAAAUUGUCCCUCCCUGCAAAGAAUCGUGCAACAAAACAUCCRUUGCUUAACUCUGAAAGGAUGUCCUUGCUCUUUUACUCAUUUUUGCCAUUUUUCACUUUAGUUUCAUUAAUCACAUCUUCCCUCAACUUUUUUUUUAAAACUAUACCUUGUGGCUGAAUCCAAAACUAGAAGAAUUAUCAUCAUUACACGUUUCUCUCUGUGACUCAAAAGGGAGCAGUGGUAGAACACGCAGGCAUAGCAGUAGGAUGACCCCAGAAGGGAUUCCCUGAUCCAUAUUACUAAGGAACUUGGGAAGGCACACGGGAGGG
ensembl:lncRNA